AGAGCGAACGCUGGCGGCAGGCCUAACACAUGCAAGUCGAGCGCCCGUAGCAAUACGGGAGCGGCAGACGGGAUAGUAACACGUGGGAACGCGCCCUUCGGUUCGGAAUAACUCAGGGAAACUUGAGCUAAUACCGGAUACGCCCUUACGGGGAAAGAUUUAUUGCCGAAGGAACGGCCCGCGUCCGAUUAGCUAGUUGGUGAGGUAAUGGCUCACCAAGGCGACGAUCGGUAGCUGGUCUGAGAGGAUGACCAGCAUCACUGGGACUGAGACACGGCCCAGACUCCUACGGGAGGCAGCAGUGGGGAAUAUUGGACAAUGGGCGCAAGCCUGAUCCAGCAAUGCCGCGUGUGUGAAGAAGGCCUUGGGUUGUAAAGCACUUUUAUCGGGAACGAAAUACUAACGGUUAAUAACCUGUGGGCUGACGGUACCCGAGGAAUAAGCACCGGCUAACUUCGCGUCAGCAGCCGC
rnacentral:rRNA from 1 species